GCGGGGAUAGCUCAGCUGGGAGAGCGUCAGACUGAAGUCCAACUUCAGGAACACUACCUGUAUAGGUAGAAUUCAUCAAUCUGAAGGCCGUGCGUUCGAUCCGCACUCACCGCA